GAUGAACGCUGGCGGCGUGCCUAAUACAUGCAAGUCGAGCGAACAGAUAAGAAGCUUGCUCCUUUGACGUUAGCGGCGGACGGGUGAGUAACACGUGGGUAACCUACCUAUAAGACUGGGAUAACUCCGGGAAACCGGGGCUAAUACCGGAUAACAUUUAGAACCGCAUGGUUCUAAAGUGAAAGAUGGUUUUGCUAUCACUUAUAGAUGGACCCGCGCUGCAUUAGCUAGUUGGUAAGGUAACGGCUUACCAAGGCAACGAUACGUAGCCGACCUGAGAGGGUGAUCGGCCACACUGGAACUGAGACACGGUCCAGACUCCUACGGGAGGCAGCAGUAGGGAAUCUUCCGCAAUGGGCGAAAGCCUGACGGAGCAACGCCGCGUGAGUGAUGAAGGUCUUCGGAUCGUAAAACUCUGUUAUUAGGGAAGAACAAAUGUGUAAGUAACUGUGCACGUCUUGACGGUACCUAAUCAGAAAGCCACGGCUAACUACGUG
rnacentral:rRNA from 1 species